GAUGAACGCUAGCGGCAGGCUUAACACAUGCAAGUCGAGGGGCAACACGGGUAGCAAUACCUGGUGGCGACCGGCGCAAGGGUGCGUAACGCGUGAGCAACAUACCCUAUACAGGGGGAUAAUCCAGGGAAACUUGGUCUAAUAUCCCAUAGGAUUUACAGAUGUCAUCAUCUAUAAAUUAAAGCUUCGGUGGUAUAGGAUUGGCUCGCGUGACAUUAGCUAGAUGGUGGGGUAACGGCCUACCAUGGCCAUGAUGUCUAGGGGUUCUGAGAGGAAGACCCCCCAACUGGGACUGAGACACGGCCCAGACUCCUACGGGAGCAGCAGUGAGGAAUAUUGGACAAUGGAUGGAAAUCUGAUCCAGCCAUGCCGCGUGCAGGAAGACGGCCCUAUGGGUUGUAAACUGCUUUUAAUGGGAGCAAUAAGGUUUACGCGUAGACCGAUGAGAGUACCAUAUGAAUAAGCAUCGGCUAACUCCGU
rnacentral:rRNA from 1 species